rnacentral:rRNA from 1 species
ACGGGAGGCAGCAGUGGGGGAUAUUGCACAAUGGGGGAAACCCUGAUGCAGCGACGCCGCGUGAGUGAAGAAGUAUUUCGGUAUGUAAAGCUCUAUCAGCAGGGAAGAAGAAAUGACGGUACCUGACUAAGAAGCCCCGGCUAACUACGUGCCAGCAGCCGCGGUAAUACGUAGGGGGCAAGCGUUAUCCGGAUUUACUGGGUGUAAAGGGAGCGCAGACGGUUUUGCAAGUCAGAAGUGAAAUGCCAGGGCUCAACCCUGGAACUGCUUUUGAAACUGUAGGACUUGAGUGCCGGAGAGGUAAGCGGAAUUCCUAGUGUAGCGGUGAAAUGCGUAGAUAUUAGGAGGAACACCAGUGGCGAAGGCGGCUUACUGGACGGUAACUGACGUUGAGGCUCGAAAGCGUGGGGAGCAAACAGGAUUAGAUACCCUGGUA